rnacentral:tRNA from 2 species
UCACUAAUCCCACCAAACGGUCGUGCUGUCUCUCUCCAUUCGACAGCAGGGGUGAUUCCUCCCUUAUAGCAAAUAAGUGCAUUAAGUUUAAGCCUUAAAUAUACCAUUAAA